CUGUCUGUUUGUGUCUGUUUAUCUCUGUCUUUCUUUCUUGGGUCUCUUGCUCUGGCUGCCGUGUUGUGAGCAGCUCAGUGGAGGUCCACGUGGAAAGAAACCGAGGCCUCCAGCCAAACAGCCAGAGAGCAAGUGAGACUGCCUGCCGGUGGCCAUGUAGGCGAGCUGAAAAGCAGAACGUCCUUUUGUUUUGUUUUGUUUUGGUUUUUUUAGGACCGCACCUGCGGCAUAUGAAAGUUCCAGGCUAGGGGUCAAAUCAGAGCUGCAGCUGCCGGCGUACACCACAGCCACAGCACCACCAGAUCUGAGCCGUGUUUGCAACCCACACCACAGCCACAGCAGCGCCAGAUCCGAGCCGCAUCCAUGACCUAUGCCACAGCUUGCAGCAAUGCCAAGUCCUUAACCUUCGGAGUGAGGCCAGGGAUCGAACCCACAUCCUCAUGGCUGCUAGUCAGGUUCUUAACCCACUAAGUCACAAUAGGAACUCCAGAACUGUGAGAUGAGUGUCAUUUCAAGCCACUGAGUUUUGCGGUGAUUUGUCCUCUGCAGCGGAUAGCUGGUGCAUCUUACAGUAUUUUUAUGUGUGUGGCACCCAUGUGUGUACAGAACAUGGGCGCUCGAUGUGGUCGUCGUCCAAACUCUUGCGUUUGAAGCCAGGCCCCCCGGGGAAUGCUUAAUAUCCCACACACCCAGAGGUGCUCUUCAUUCAUUAGCGAGCGACGGGAUGAUGGGUUCACGGUGAACCUGCCUCAUCCCUGCGGAGGGAGGCGCGUUCUCCCUCUCCCACCAGACUGCCUGUCGGCUGCAGUGAUGCUCCCGGAGGACUGGGCCUCUCCUCGCCACCCAUUCCCCCUCUGGGGCCUCUGCUGUCCCGCAGAUACAGACAAGGCACAGGCGCCAGGGGCGAGGAGGGUUUUCAGAAAGCACUCAGCUCAGAGUGGAGCGCCGGGCUGCCGGUUGGGUGACUCCUGGCGGCCGUGGUCUGGCCCACUUCUGCCGCCUCCGCCAAAAGGAGGAGGCCCGUAGGCUCUUGGUGCAGCGCUUGGGGAGGCUCGCUCUUGACCCUGAUCCUGAGAUGUACCACUGGGUACAUCGGCCUCAGAGUAGCCGGGCACAGAGCGCUUGGUGUGUGCGAGCCAGGCGCCGCUUACAGGGGAGCACAGAGGGGCAGCGCCUCGUUUCUGCUCUCGAGGACUGGUCGUUCCUGUGGGGGUCAAGGUCAUGCAUUACUGCCCUGCCCACCAGAAGGACCCAGAGGAGGGUGGGUGCUGAGGGGGAGCUGCCCAUUGGAGGUGGCAGCCCAGCUGGGCCCUUCAGGAUGGAGGAUCACCACCUCCCUCCUGGGGGCGCAUAUGGACUCCUUCGUUCUGACCCGUCACUGCACAUACGUGCUUACAGAUCUGGCUGCUGCUACUCAGUGUGAGUGUUUGGCGGAAACUCAUCUAGAGAUGGGCAUUAUUCCGUGUCUUUAGUGCCCUGCACAGUGCUUGACUCACUGUAGGCCUCGGGAUGCUUUAUGAAUGAGUGACUCGGUCAAUCAAGCCGUGAAUGAGCGAGCCAAGGUACAUGGCGAGACUGGAGAGGUAACUUGGACUGAGCUUUAAGGGCCAGGGAUGCCAUGAACAUUGAGCUAAUAAUUAGCAGUAAGGGGUGUUUUCUUUCUAGGGUGGAAGCAGUGCCUGAAUCAGCACCAAGGAAAGGUGGAAGCGGGGGCAGUGGCCACAUCGGUGUGUUAGCCUGAGCCCCAGCCUCACCCAGGGUCUGUACCAAAAGUGGCCCCAGCCGUGUGCCAGGAGCAGAGGUGGCAAAUUAAGGCAAGGCGCAGACCUGAAGGAUGCUGUUGUGAUUCCCGGGCUAGAAAGAGCAGAGCCCACUCAGGCCAAACCAGUGUGGUCUGGGGCAGCUCCCAGGCCAGGGAGAGGCUGUUUUCAGGUGAGGCUUCGGGUCACCCGACAAAGAAAUUCAGGGACAUUCUGACUUGGAGAACUUGAGGCCGCCGGCUCUCAGGAGCAGCAGGUGCUGCAGAGAAGUCUACCUGGCCAGUGGGGAGUUCAGGCUGCAUUCUGAGGCUUUCCUUAAGAGAACCAGGACUUGUCAUGUGCUUCCUGGUGGUGGUUGCAGCACCCUAAUUUUCAUGAAGAGCAAACGGAGCUUAAUUUGGAGUCACAGAAAAUGUGUCUUUUUUCUUACGCGGCAUUUAGCAGCUAUGGGAGUAAUUUUUCGUGGUCACCUCCUGAUUGUCCACGCUGAUGGGAGGGUGGGCGGAGCUUCGGGGCUAACGUGUAAAACAGCAGGUGAUCCACCGGUGGCCCUGGGAGUGGAUUUGUGCUUCUGUUUAUAGAAGUGCCUAUUCUGAAAAUUCACCACAGAAUUUUGAAAUCAACUUUUAAUGAGGACAACUCAGAAGGGCCUGAAAAGCAGGGUCUCUUCCCCUCCUUGUCCUCCCCCUCCACCCCCAUCCUGUCCCGAGUCCUCCUGUGGGGUGACAGCCUCAUCCAUUACAGAGCAAGCCAAGGAGGAGACGGAUUAAAAGCCAAAGGCAGAGAAAACUUCAGAAGUUCAUUUUUCUAGUUGGUGGAUGUGAUGCAGCAGUGAAGACACUGACCCGAUUAAAAGUUCAGAGGGCUGCAUAUAAUGGCCUCUCCUGUACGUUUAUAUUAGGAAAAGUGUGUUACCAGCUCCCCCAAAGUGCAGAGUCUCCCCGAAGUAGAGGUCGAAGAGUGGUUUUUUCAGAUCAUGAGUCAACAUCAGCCAAGAGGGAUGAAUCACGAUCUUCUUGGGAGAUUCGCAGGCAGGCACACUGGGCUGGGGGAUGCUGCGCACUGCAGUGGCCCUGGGUCCUUGUGACAGACGGGAGACACAGCCUCAGAAGGACAGGCAGAGCCACCAUCAAGCUGUCCUCCGAGCUUUAUCUCGGGCUGUGUUCUGAAAGGGGGCAGGGGGCGGCGGGGCGUUGCUCUCCUGUGCUGGUGAGGAAGUUCAGAAAGUGUGUUUGAACAUACACAUGCCCAGGCAGGAGAAAGAUUCUGUCUUCCCAAUGCUCUUGUCCCAUCUGAAUGUGAAAUUAAAAGUGAUUGGCUGCAGGAGUUCCCAUCCUGGCUCAGCAGUAAUGAACCCCACUAGGAUCCAUGAGGACUUGGGUUCCAUCCUCAGGCUCGCUCAGUGGGUUAAGGAUCCGACAUUGCCAUGAGCUGUGGUAUAGAUCACAGGUGCGGCUUGGAUCCAGUGUUGCUGUGGCUGUGGUAUAGGCUGGCAGCUGCAGCUUUAAUUCAACCCCUAGCCUGGGAACUUCCCUGUGCCCUGGAUGUGGCCCNAAAAA
rnacentral:lncRNA from 1 species